rnacentral:misc_RNA from 1 species
GCAAAUUCCAUUAGGCAGAUUUUCUAUAAUCGAUCGGUAUGUUUGUCAUUUCAACAAAAAGGUGCAAUACAUAGACAAGAGUUUCUAUGGAAAGUGGUUCGUAAUAUAAUUAUUACCGGAUGUGCUUCACUCAAGAAAGGAUGUAGUGUAGGUGUGACGUGUGCUUGUUGUGAAUUCAAUGCUGUGUGUGUUGAUCGUGUAUUUCAAAGCUGUAAUUUUCCUAGAAGAAAUAGAUUUGAGUUUGAUAAU